CGCGGUGCCACUGAGCUACAUCCCCAGCCCUGGGGAAUGUCUGCUUCUCAGGGACAUCCAAAUGCUGGCAGUUGGGCGGAUCCAGGAGGUGACAAAGCAUGACCUGAGAUGCCAGGUCCUGGGGAUCAAAAUCAGGCCUUUGCACAUGCUAGGUCUCACUCGGUGGCAUCUACCUUGGGAGCCUCCCAAGGGGCUGGAGUGACAGACUCAGCACUGAGGUUAGUGUGUCAGGACCUUGCAUCUUGUCUGCAGGUCGA